UACGAAGGGGGCUAGCGUUGCUCGGAAUUAUCGUGGGCGUAAAGGGCGCGCAGGCGGUCCUUCAAGUCAGAUGUCGAAAGCCCCCGGGGCUCAACCUGGGAACAGCAUUUGAGACUGGGAGGACUUGAGGACGGGGAGAAGGAGAGUGGAAUUCCCAGUGUAGAGGUGAAAUUCGUAGAUAUUGGGAAGAACACCAAUGGCGAAGGCAGCUCUCUGGACCGUUACUGACGCUGAGGCGCGAAAGCGUGGGAGCAACAGG
rnacentral:rRNA from 1 species